rnacentral:rRNA from 1 species
CCUACGGUGGACAGCAGUCGAGAAUCAUUCACAAUGGGGGAAACCCUGAUGGUGCGACGCCGCGUGGGGGAAUGAAGGUCUUCGGAUUGUAAACCCCUGUCAUGUGGGAGCAAAUUAAAAAGAUAGUACCACAAGAGGAAGAGACGGCUAACUCUGUGCCAGCAGCCGCGGUAAUACAGAGGUCUCAAGCGUUGUUCGGAAUCACUGGGCGUAAAGCGUGCGUAGGCUGUUUCGUAAGUCGUGUGUGAAAGGCGCGGGCUCAACCCGCGGACGGCACCUGAUACUGCGAGACUAGAGUAAUGGAGGGGGAACCGGAAUUCUCGGUGUAGCAGUGAAAUGCGUAGAUAUCGAGAGGAACACUCGUGGCGAAGGCGGGUUCCUGGACAUUAACUGACGCUGAGGCACGAAGGCCAGGGGAGCGAAAGGGAUUAGAUACCCUAGUAGUC